UGACCCCUUCAUUGCGCGGGGGGAAGUGGCCCUGCCUUCGACUCCCCUGUGCCAGGCCCCGGCGCCUUCGUCGGGUGUCUUGGCCCUUGGCGCUGGAGACACAUGGGUGCGGUGGUUGGUCCGCGGGGGACCCCGCACCCUGCACGCCGCCCAUUACAUCCCGGAUCCGCCCUCAGCUGCCGGCCUCCGCCAGGCACCCACACGGGCCAGGCGGGGGUCAUUCUCUCCUCCCGUCGCUUCUGCUGUAACACGUUGGGCUGGCGGCUUAGAACAAGUGCCGUCCCAGGGGUCGGACAUCCCCUUCGUUUGGGACAGGGCUUCGCAAGCGCACCCCGUGCUGUCCACACAGGCAGCGGUUAAGAUUUCUGCUCUUGGCUGCCUGUGGCUCCUCCUGCAAAGACUGGCAGUGGCAGCAGUGUCCAUGGACAGCCAGUGUGGGGCAGCAGCAGUCCUCCCUUGCUCCCCUGCUGCCAAAGGGAUGCAGAACUUCUGGGCCAGUGGCUGGUACAAGGUCGUCAACAGCAGCCAGGAAAUGGGGCUGAUUCGGAACCUCAAGAACAGGACGACAGUGUAUGACAAGAUCCAGCGGCAGUUCCUGAUGGACGAGCAGCAGUCGCUGGUCAUUCCUAAGGUCCGGCCAGAGGACGCUGGCACUUAUCGCUGCUCCCUGUGGGCCAAUGUGGGACAUUUCAAUCAGCAGGCAGACGUCAUCCUGCGGGUGUCAGACUGUUCAGCACCCUGGCUGGGCACUUCACCCACGGGGACGUCGCCGCGGGGUCCUGAGCGGGAGGGCAGCACAAGCCCCAACUCCACCUGCUGCCGGGAGCCACUGAUUCCUGUCCUUGCUGCCGUCCUGGGGCUGCUGGCCUUCAGUGUGGGGAAGGGGCUGCUCAGCAUCAUCCUCAUCCUGGUGAUCAGGGUCAGCCUCAAAUACAAGCGAAGGAGAAAACAAGUGCGAAACCUCUGAGGGAGAAGCAUGGAGCAGACGGAAGCAGACAGAUGUGCCUCGGAACCAAGGAGGAGGGGAGGGCAUGGAGCCAGGAACGGCCACGGUGGCAGCACUGUGUGUCGGGGCAGAGCUCCACACAGACACAUCGCUUUAAAGGGCUUGCAGCAGCGGGCUCUGUGGAGCCUGUGUUCCCAGCACCAUGCCCAUCCUCUCUGUCCCCUGCUGUCUUGCUGUUCAAUACACCCUCAUGCUGUGCCUCAUUGCUACCUUAGGCUGUGAGCUCACGUGGGCAGGGACAGUCUUUUCCUCUGUUUGGGCCCAGCCCAGUCCAGUGAGCCUCUG
rnacentral:lncRNA from 1 species